UACGGAGGGUGCAAGCGUUAUCCGGAUUCACUGGGUUUAAAGGGUGCGUAGGUGGGUUUGUAAGUCAGUGGUGAAAUCUCCGGGCUCAACCCGUAAACUGCCAUUGAUACUACAAGUCUUGAAUUUUCCGGAGGUAAGCGGAAUAUGUCAUGUAGCGGUGAAAUGCUUAGAUAUGACAUAGAACACCAAUUGCGAAGGCAGCUUACUGCAGGAACAUUGACACUGAGGCACGAAAGCGUGGGGAUCAAACAGG
rnacentral:rRNA from 1 species